rnacentral:rRNA from 1 species
CGGCCGUAGCAAUACGGCAGCGGCAGACGGGAGAGUAACACGUGGGAACGUGCCCUAUGGUUCGGAAUAACGCAGGGAAACUUGCGCUAAUACCGAAUAAGCCCUUACGGGGAAAGAUUUAUCGCCAUUGGAGCGGCCCGCGUCCGAUUAGCUAGUUGGUGAGGUAACGGCUCACCAAGGCGACGAUCGGUAGCUGGUCUGAGAGGAUGACCAGCCUCACUGGGACUGAGACACGGCCCAGACUCCUACGGGAGGCAGCAGUGGGGAAUAUUGGACAAUGGGCGCAAGCCUGAUCCAGCCAUGCCGCGUGGGUGAUGAAGGCCCUAGGGUUGUAAAGCCCUUUCAGCGGGGAAGAUAAUGACGGUACCCGCAGAAGAAGCCCCGGCUAACUUCGUGCCAGCAGCCGCGGUAAUACGAAGGGGGCUAGCGUUGCUCGGAAUUACUGGGCGUAAAGCGCACGUAGGCGGCUUUCUAAGUCGGGGGUGAAAUCCUGGNAGCUCAACUCCAGAACUGCCUUCGAUACUGGAGAGCUCGAGUCCGGGAGAGGUGAGUGGAACUGCGAGUGUAGAGGUGAAAUUCGUAGAUAUUCGCAAGAACACCAGUGGCGAAGGCGGCUCACUGGCCCGGUACUGACGCUGAGGUGCGAAAGCGUGGGGAGC